rnacentral:rRNA from 1 species
UGGCCAGACUCCUACGGGAGGCAGCAGUGGGGGAUAUUGGACAAUGGGGGGAACCCUGAUCCAGCGACGCCGCGUGAGUGAAGAAGUAUCUCGGUAUGUAAAGCUCUAUCAGCAGGGAAGAAAGAAAUGACGGUACCUGAGUAAGAAGCCCCGGCUAACUACGUGCCAGCAGCCGCGGUAAUACGGAGGAUGCGAGCGUUAUCCGGAUUUAUUGGGUUUAAAGGGUGCGCAGGCGGUCUGUUAAGUCAGCGGUAAAAGCCCGGGGCCCAACCCCGGUCCGCCGUUGAAACUGGCAGUCUCGAGUUGGAGAGAAGUAUGCGGAAUGCGCGGUGUAGCGGUGAAAUGCGUAGAUAUCGCGCAGAACUCCGAUUGCGAAGGCAGCAUGCCGGCUCCACACUGACGCUGAGGCACGAAAGCGUGGGUAUCGAACAGGAUUAGAUACCCCAGUACU